rnacentral:rRNA from 1 species
AUGCCCAAGCGCACCAUGGGAGGGAGGGCCGACGCCGGGGCCGACGCCAUGGCGCACGAAGCAUCCAAGCGCCAUGCGAAGCUGCACAUGGAGAAACCCCUCCCCACUGGCGAGGGGUCCAGCCGGCAGCAGGGCGGCCGUGACGUCGUCGACCACGUCCAGGCUCCAGUGCAGCUGUCACCUACGCCGGAGCAGGUGACUCCUCUGCCACGCCAUCUGCCUCCUCUGCUGCAGCCCGUGGUCAACGUCGACGGCGACGACGGUGAAGAAGAGGUCACUGCUCUGGCUCCUCAGACGGAGCAGGUGACGCCUCCUGUGCCUGAGCCUGUGGUCGUCGGCGAUGUCAACAAAGAAGACGUAGCUGCUAUGGCUCCUCAGACGGAGCAGGUGUCUCCUCUGCCGGGGGUGACGCCUCCGGUGCCCGAGCCUAUGGUCGUUGGCGACGUCAACAAAGAUGACGUAGCUAGCUCCCCUGGCUCCUCUGCCGGAGUAGGUGGUGGCUCCUCAGCCUCAGCCGGGUGUUCAUCUGCCGCGGUUGUUGCCUCCCCUGCCCCCACCUGUGGUCGUCGCCGACAAGAAUGA